rnacentral:lncRNA from 1 species
UCACCAUGAAUAUAUGCACCAAGGGAAUGAACACACAAAUUAAAAGGCUGGAGUAUAGUGGUGCGAUCAUAGCUAGCUGCAGCCUUGAACUCCUCCUCAAGCAAUCCUUCCUCCUUGGCCUCGCAAAGUCCUGGGAUUACAGGCGUGAGCUACUGGGCCUGACCUACAAAAUGUUUUAUGCUUUCGGCCUAAAUAGUGUUCCUUGGAGAGAAAAUUACCCUGGGAAUGAAUAAACAAGAGCAAUGCAAAUGAGUGCUGAUAGUUGUUUUAAUAGGAACAACUUUGGUUCAACUUUAACUGCAAAUUGCCUGUUUUCAGAAGCAGCUCAAAUAUCAGAUCAAGUUAAUUUAGUUGGACUCCUGUCCCAUGCUUGAAAGUUUCUUCAUUGGAAAAGAUAUCCACGACUGUUACAGAUGCUUCGUGGAGGUUCAAAAAGACUACAGAUCAAGGCCAGUGACCUUCUACACAUGGUGGACACUCCAGCCUCUGCUCAAUCUCCAUCCACACUUAAAGGAAAUAGCCAACUCUUGGCCAACCUUCAGGCCUGGGAAGAGGCUCAAGCAGACACUGAAGACGGACUUAAGUGAGUGAAGCUUUGGCAGGACCAUGUCUCUGAAUGUCUCAUUGGAAGGGUUUCAUCACUGUCCCUGAAAGCCUCCUUCAUCAAGAUUUUUUGAAUGUUGUAUUUCCUGAGUUGACUCUGAUUUUCUAAUCUUUGCUUUUCUGAUUUACAUGUCUGUUUGGUUCUAUAUUCCGAGUAAGUAGCUUGCGUUUGUCUUCCAACUCUUCAAAUUAUUGUUGCAUUUGUGCUUUAUCAUUAAAUGCCAAGAAUUCCUUUUAUAAUUGAUGUACUUUUGAGCUGGUCAGUUUUUAUUAAAAAAAAAAUUUAGAAACUUCUGCUCAGAUAAUCUGUGCUUUAGAUGAUUAUAACAUGUCAUUAAUAAUUUUCUGAUUUUUAUGCUUGUAUUGGCCUUAAAGAUAAUGUCCAUGUUAUAGAAAAUACAAAUUGAGUGUUCAGGAAUAAAGGCCUAACACAUCUUCAAU